UCAGGAGGUAGCUGCAUUGAUGAUGAUGAAAGGAACAUGUCUGAACAUGCAGGAUCUUCAGGAGAAUCCGUCCUCAACAUGCAGGAUUCUGAAGACUAUCCACCUUCAAGAUCACCAUAAUUUUCUAUAGUUUCAGAGUUAUCUGCCAAUGAUAGUGUUUCAGUCAUAUCAUGUAUGUCACAUAGCCACAGUAUAUCACCUGUAGCAAAAAGGGAAGAAAAAUCUCCAUCAUCCAGAAAUAACCAUAGAUAAAUUUGUGAAAAGAACCAGCAGAUUACAAAAAGAGGUAAUGGAAGAAAAAAUUGCCCAUUUUUAUGCAACAAACUCUCCUUUCCGUAUGAUUGAGAACCCACACUUCAUUAACAUGGUUCAGUCAUUAAGAUCAGGAUACAGUCCACCCAACGGAGCAGAUGUCUCAGGCAAACUGCUGGAUAAAGCGUAUGGAAGAGAAAUUGAGCAGUGUGCAAAAGGUCUAGAGGGUGAAAUUGUUAACCUGAGUCUUGAUGGGUGGAGCAAUGUCCACAAUGAUCCGGUUGUAUGUGCUUGUGUGACAA